CCUACGGGGGGCAGCAGUAGGGAAUCUUUCACAAUGGGCGAAAGCCUGAUGGAGCAACGCCGCGUGCAGGAUGAAGGCCUUCGGGUUGUAAACUGCUUUUAUAAGCGAGAAAUAUGAUGGUAACUUAUGAAUAAGGAUCGGCUAACUACGUGCCAGCAGCCGCGGUCAUACGUAGGAUCCGAGCAUUAUCCGGAGUGACUGGGCGUAAAGAGUUGCGUAGGUGGCAUAAUAAGUAGCUAGUGAAAUCUGGUGGCUCAACCAUUCAGACUAUUAGCUAAACUGUUAAGCUCGAGACCGUUAGGGGUAACUGGAAUUUCUAGUGUAGGAGUGAAAUCCGUAGAUAUUAGAAGGAACACCAAUAGCGUAGGCAGGUUGCUGGGACGGUUCUGACACUAAGGCACGAAAGCGUAGGGAGCAAACGGGAUUAGAUACCCGAGUAGUC
rnacentral:rRNA from 1 species